UCCGAGUUGACCCCGGCAGUCUCCCAUGAGUCCCCGCCAUUACGCGCUGGCAACAUGGAACGAGGGUUGCGCUCGUUGCGGGACUUAACCCAACAUCUCACGACACGAGCUGACGACAACCAUGCACCACCUGUGAACCGGCCCCAAAGGGGAAACCACAUCUCUGCGGCGAUCCGGUAUAUGUCAAACCCAGGUAAGGUGGGGAUGACGUCCCUUACAGCGUAC
rnacentral:misc_RNA from 1 species